rnacentral:rRNA from 1 species
UACGUAGGGCGCAAGCGUUAUCCGGAAUCAUUGGGCGUAAAGAGCUCGUAGGCGGCUUGGUAAGUCGGAUGUGAAAGCUCCAGGCUCAACCUGGAGUCGCCAUCCGAUACUGCCAUAGCUAGAGUCCGGUAGGGGCCCACGGAACUCCUGGUGUAGCGGUGAAAUGCGCAGAUAUCAGGAAGAACACCGGUGGCGAAGGCGGUGGGCUGGGCCGGCACUGACGCUGAGGAGCGAAAGCGUGGGGAGCGAACAGG